CGGGUGUAGAUUUUCCAGGGUAAGCCUGGAAGAGAGGCUGGUAAACCCUGGAAAACUAUGGAAAAGCAUGGAAUUUCAUGGAAAUUCAUGGAAAAUAAGUAUUUUUUCCAUGCUAUGUGGACUUUUUUUGUCCAGCCAUUUCCAGCAUUGCUGGAAUAGGCUGGAAAUUGGCUGGACAUUUGUGGUAAAAGCCUGGAAAACCAUGGACUUUACUUCCAUGUAGCAUGGAAAGUGGAACUUAGAUUUUUUUGAUGCUGGAAAUGUGUUAAACUUUUUCUAAGUAUGCUGGAAAAAACUUGUAAAAAUUACAACAAGAAAUCUUACUUUAUAUAUAUUCAGCACAAUAUUGUAAAUUUACGAAGAAAAUAUAAAAUCAUCAUUUAUCUUAAUGCAAGUUACUGUAAAUGAUUUGAAAUUUGACACUUUAUACUUUUUAUGUAGUUGAAAAAGGGUAACUCAGAAAAAAUGUCUAUGCUAAAGACAUAAAUGAAUUGAUUGUUCAAAAUACAUAAUUUUUUAUUAUUAUUUAAAUAAAUCUACAUGAAGUUAUGUACAGUGUAAUAAUAUCCAUUUAAUUACAGGCUUUAGGUUUAACUAUAGAUUAAUUUAAGUCUGUGAUUAAAUCAUUCAGACACUAUAAUAAUCAAGAUGGGAUUGCAUUACUUGCCAUUUUUAAAUUGUAAGAAUUCAUGUUUUUGGAUAACAAUAAAUAAAUAAACAAACAAAACAAAACAGUGCAUGAAAGAAUCUCAUAUAUAUUCUGUAUUAAACUCAUAUAUAUUCUAUAUUAAAUUGACCAAUAUUUAGGAAAAUAAAUACUACAUCCACUGAGAUUUUACACUACACAGAUCAGAGCUCUGAUAAAACUCAUUGACCAGCAUUUUCUCACCGUCUGCGCAUGACUAAUUUACUCCACUGGUCAUUUCAGAUCAGGCUUUUCCAUGUGAUUAUUUUGGGGAGAGAUAACAUUAUAAAUUUCAUAUGCAGAGUGUGUCUAGAAGGACAUUGCAAUCUUUUUUGUACAAAAAUUUGUAAUGAUCUUUAAAAUCUAUAUAUUUAUUAGCUAUUUGAUAUUUUCUUUUACACUCAAAGAAUAAAAGUUAAAAUGAUGAGUAGAUUAACCCUGCUUUACAUAAUGAUAGACCUGUCCAGUAACUGUUGUAAAUUUUGAAUUCUAAGAUAUCUGGGUCAGCUAAGAGUGCAAAUUACAGUGGAUGUACUUGAUAAUUUAGCAGUUUUGGAGAUAUUGUUUUGUUUAAGACUUUAAAGUGUUUAAGUAUUGGUAUGAUAACAAUUAGAAUCACCAGGGACAAAGAGAUAUACAACAGAAUCAGGCUGGGACAUAAGUGCUGACUGUGAGAAUUACCAAUAGUGUUGAAUAAUGAUGUGCAGAAUUAAUCCUGAAAAGGUGAGCACAACCACAAGAAGUUCUAGGAAACACAGGCAGAGGACUGAAAAUGGACAUCAAUAAAAGAAAUAGUAAUUUAAAUAAUCAGAAACACUUGAAACAAAUUUAAGAUUAAAAAAGGUUCCUCAUUGACAGACUAAGAGCAAAUAAUUGCUAAAAUUUAUAAGACAACCAGAACCUACCAAACCUGCAGAUAGUAAAAAAACUGUUUGUGCUAUAGUGAAUGUAGGAUGUUCUAUUCUGUAUUUGGACUAAAGGAUAUGUAUUAAAUUUUGUGAAAGAAAUAUGUGAUCAUGUUAAACUUAUAAAAAGUCCACCCUAAACAUUCCUGUGCUGAAUUCCGUCAGAGAAUUUUACAUUUUAAGAUCAUUCAGGGAUGCUGGAAUUAGGCUGGAUUUUUUUCCAUGUUAUUCCAUCAAGGCUGGACUAUUUACCAUGGUAAAAAGUCCAGCCUCUACCUGGUUGGCAGACACAUGGAAUACCCUGGAAAAAAAUCCAUACUUUUGUUCCAAUACUCCAUGUACAUGGAAAAGCAUGGAAUAAAGUCCAUGCUUUUCCAUGGAAAACAUGGAAAAUAUUCCAUGCAGCAUGGAAAAUGUUCCAUGUUUUUUCCCUGUUUUUCCAGCCCAUUUUUUCUCAGCUACAGGCUGGAAAAGGCUGGAAAAUUUUGUUCCAAUACUCCAGCCUCUUAUUUUCCAUGGAAAUCCCUGGAAAAGCAUGGACUUUUUACA